rnacentral:rRNA from 1 species
GAUGAACGCUAGCGGCAGGCUUAAUACAUGCAAGUCAAGGGGUAGCAAUACAACCGGCGCACGGGUGAGUAACGCGUACACAACAUACCAUAUACUGGAGUAUAGCUUUGGGAAACUGAAGGUAAUCCUCCAUAACAUUGCGAGAGGGCAUCUGAUUGCAAUUAAAGUUUCGGCGGUAUAUGAUUGGUGUGCGUUUGAUUAGCUAGUUGGUAGGGUAACGGCCUACCAAGGCGACGAUCAAUAGCUGGCGUGAGAGCGCGACCAGCCACACUGGAACUGAGACACGGUCCAGACUCCUACGGGAGGCAGCAGUAGGGAAUAUUGGACAAUGGAGGAAACUCUGAUCCAGCCAUGCCGCGUGAUAGAUGAAGGCCCUCUGGGUUGUAAAUAUCUUUUAUCUGGGAAGAAACACUCCUAUUCUUAGGAACUUGACGGUACCAGAGGAAUAAGCACCGGCUAACUCCGUGCCAGCAGCCGCGGUAAAGUAUCG